AGUGAACGCUGGCGGUAGGCCUAACACAUGCAAGUCGAACGGCAGCACAGUAAGAGCUUGCUCUUACGGGUGGCGAGUGGCGGACGGGUGAGGAAUACAUCGGAAUCUACUUUUUCGUGGGGGGUAACGUAGGGAAACUUACGCUAAUACCGCAUACGACCUACGGGUGAAAGCAGGGGAUCUUCGGACCUUGCGCGAUUGAAUGAGCCGAUGUCGGAUUAGCUAGUUGGCGGGGUAAAGGCCCACCAAGGCGACGAUCCGUAGCUGGUCUGAGAGGAUGAUCAGCCACACUGGAACUGAGACACGGUCCAGACUCCUACGGGAGGCAGCAGUGGGGAAUAUUGGACAAUGGGCGCAAGCCUGAUCCAGCCAUACCGCGUGGGUGAAGAAGGUCUUCGGGUUGUAAAGCCCUUUUGUUGGGAAAGAAAAGCAGCAGGUUAAUACCCCGCUGUUCUGACGGUACCCAAAGAAUAAGCACCGGCUAACUUCGUG
rnacentral:rRNA from 1 species